AACUGCAUAUUGUGCCGGGCAAAAAUUAUGUAAACUACUGAAUCUACAAAAACCAUCUAGAAAUAGCAGCAACAUAUUGUGUCCAAUAAUUGCAUUCAGCCAGUACAAACAAUAUAAGUGCCACAUAACUAGGUAAGACAAUCAUCUCCAAUAGAUACAGGACAAUUAUUUUCAGUAGUGUGUGUACUACUGUAGCAAGGGGUACUCCCACCAGCCAGAAUGUUCACACAAGUAAGCUCUUCAGCCAACAUUUAGGCCUGCAUUAUUUGUUGUGGUGGAUAUGUUGGGCUGCUAUCAGAAGGGUGGUGGUGGUGGUGGUGAGCCGCCUGGGCCCGGGGGUCCGAAGAAUGGGGCGCAGCAGUCUUGGAGCAGGCAGCAACAACAGAGGAGGUAGAACUGCACAAGAAGUAUUCGUCCUGAGUUUCAGAGAAUAUAAACAAUCUGUUUCAAACAGGGAAAAAAAUUCAAAGGAAGAAAUAUAAACGAUCGACUAAUGUAUGCUUCGCCACUUAUAUAUUGCAAUUUGAUUGAGUUGACCACUAAACCACUAACCAUCUAACUGAAUGAAUUGCUUUCUCUUUUCUUUUGGAGAUGUUGAUGUUGAUAAUACUAAUUUGAUGAUUUCGCUGGCAAAAAUGCACAGUUUAAAUUUCUGUUAGUAGCUGAGGAUUCAACUUACCAGGACCCGAAGAAGCCACCAAACCAAGGCCCCCAAGAACCAGGGCCAGGGCCUCCCCAACCUGGUCCUCCAGGCCCACGAGGACCCAUUCCACCAACACAGAAACAACUGGUUAAUACAGACUACAGCUUCACAAGAACUCAGCCAGGACACAAUACAAGAGUUGAUGCCCCAAUUGGAGAUGAAGAAGAAUUUAUAGAUGUAGGGUGAGAAUAAGUAG
rnacentral:lncRNA from 1 species